AACCAGAAUUGAUUCAUUUUAUAUUACUGGAUUACCAGAUAAUUCAGAAAAACCAUACCUCCUGUCAUCAUUGGAUAAUCUGUCACUCUUCCAAAUUAUAUUUGAAAUAAAUCCAUUAGAUGAAACUGUUGCCCAGAGAUGUAUCAUAGAAGCUGAACCUUUAGAAAUAAUAUAUGAUGCAAGGACAGUGAAUAGUAUAGUAGAGUUCUUCAGACCUCCAAAAGAUGUACAUCUAGCACAGCUCACUUCAGCAACUUUGACAAAACUUGAAGAAUUUCGAAACAAAACAGCAACAGGUCUACUGUAUAUUAUUGAAACACAGAAAGUUCUUGAUCUCAGAAUUAAUUUGAAGGCUUCGUAUGUUAUUGUCCCACAAGAUGGAAUUUUUAGCCCUACAUCAAAUAUACUUCUUUUGGAUCUUGGUCAUCU